AUGGCGUCAAUCUCCAGAGCAUCGUCCCUUGUUGCCAUGGCCAUCGUCGUCGUGCUCGCCUCCGUGGCCAGCGCCCAGGGCCCUGCCCCGGCACCCACCGCCAGUGAUGGAACGAGCGUGGACCAAGGGAUCGCGUACGUGCUCAUGUUCGUGGCGCUGGCCCUCACCUACCUCAUCCACCCGCUGGACGCCGCCUCCGCCUACAGGCUCCUCUGA
rnacentral:rRNA from 1 species